UGAUCUGGACGACGUGUUUCUCUGAUGAAUUCAUCUUUUCGAGUCACUCCACCCUGCUGCAGUUUUCAGUUCACUGAUCUGUUGGCUCACGUGUGAGGGCGGUUUUAUAUUUAUAUAUUUCACAUGCAUGAAUGUAAAUCUAGAAUUGAAAGACUCUAGGGAAACGACCAGAGUCCCUACCUUUGACUACAUCGUGUGUAAGUGUGUAUAAACUAUGACCGUUAUACGGCGGAUUGCUGUUGUGUUGCUGUUUUGCAGCAACAGGCGCUCCCCUCUUGACCCCCAUUCUCGAGUGUUUCUUUAUCAUCGAUCUGCCUGCAUUUCAAAACGAUGAGAGCAGUGACUGAGCAGUGACCCCGGCCCCCACCCGAGAAUUGAUGAGGCUCCGCAGUAUCGGGAGAAGUUUCUGCUAACAUUGAUUACAAAACACCUAUAGAGAUGACUAUCGUGUUAUCGUGCGAAGGGGCAGUUAAUAUCUGCGCGCCUGAAAUAACUGCAUCUGCCCGGGAGCUUUUUUUCUUCGCUCUAACGACAUGAAAAUUCGGACCAAAUUGAUCACAGCAGUGGUGCUUUCGAUAUCGAUGUGGGUGCGGCUCGAGCGAAUCAGAACGUGAGGUCACGUUCUCAAGGCUAGUAGCCUAUAAGACAGCAUUUGUCAUGAAUGCAGGAAUCUUUCUGAUUUUGACAGAAGACUAACACGUCGAUAGAAGAGAGGAAAUGGCAUCACAUUUGGUUUUCCAGAUGUCGGGCCCUCGCCAGUGCAACGUUGAGAUUGAAAAUGCUACCAAGUCCUACCACCUUGCUGGACCAAGAAUCUACUCCAACUGGUAUGCAGUGGGAGUUUUCGACAGCAACAAAAGAUGUGAUGGGGAACUUUACAAUGAGUUGUACAACAGCAAUCACAGUGGUCUUUUGAGAGGGGCAGCCAAAGAUGACCCUAUUCGCCAUACACACGGUAAUUUAGUCAUUGAUGCUGCAAUGUCAAACACCCACACUCCGCACUUGUUGGUGAAAGUUCAUCAAGAUAAGAAAGGAAAGCUCAGUUUGCCGAAAUUCAGAAUUAUGGCUGUGCACAUAGGUAAACUAGUAGAAGCUGUCGUUAAUGAUAUCGGUGUUUAAUUGUGUACAGUGGUACAAAGUAACGCGUUACAGUCGCGAUAUUACUUUUUUGGGUAACGAAGUGAAGUAACGCAUUGCAUAAAAAAUAUCGGUAACUACACUACUUUACUAGGCUAUAGUAACACGCUUUCUUGUGUUACCCAAACCGUGUUUGCCUGCGUGUAAAGUUCUGAUCUGUUGUGGUGCGUGCAUGCGUGCUUGCCUGUGUGUCUGCAGCGCCUGCUUGCCUCGGCACGUUGCCAUAGCGAUCGAUUUGAGUGACGUAGCUGCUUGUGGGAAGGAGUGUUCAAGUGUCGGAGCGCAGAAGCAGGUGACACAGAAAGACCGGCUGGUUGCAGGCUUCAUUGUGGAAGACAUGCUCCCCCUGUCGACUAUUGAAUCGCCCAGAUUUAGAAAAAAUACUAGAUAGAAUACCCGCGACUCGCAAGCCAACAUCCGACAAGGAAAACAUUUUCCCAUUACCUGAACAAGUGUUAUACCGACAUUGAAUCGGAGCUCAAAAUAAUUUUCGAGUCCUCCCUGGAACAUGUGUCCAGCACUGCGGACAUUCGGUCCGCCAAAACAAAAAAUACUUAGGAGUUACUGCACCAGAUAGGCAGCAUUACUUUAAAACUUGAGAAGGCUGCUCUUGCCUGCAAGAGGGUGAGAGGAAGACACAAGCACAUAAUUUACACAAGGGACUUGUUUUAGACAAGUUUUGAUUUACGGUUCCUUUAAGGUUCCUUAAGGAUUGCGCGUGUUGCAAGGGGAUUCUCCGCCAGAACAGUAGGGGGAGCAACGAACGAAUCUGUGGGCGUGGAAGUGGAAAUCGCUGGCUUGUUUAUAUUUAUAAUUAUCAUAAUUCGUUCAUGUGUUUUCUUCUCCUUCUUCAAAAUUCUUCAUUCGCUUCUGUCACGGCCUUUUAAAAAUGGCGCUAUUAUGCUGUAAAACCGGAAAUGUGAGACUCCUGAAAGGAUGUGGUUAGCUGGCCAAUCACAGUCUUUGCGAGCUGCGUAGGGCCGUAGUGUUUUAGUCGCAUAGUCAGGAAUUUUGGCCGACGCACUUAAGCACGUAAGGGGGGAUAUUUUACCGCGCAAGUGGGGGUUAUGUAUCUUACGUGCUUACGCGUUACGUCUAAAACAGAGCAUAUAUCGGCCUUAACGAUGUCCUAGCUUGCGAAAUAGAUCAGGUUCAUUCAGCCUUUGGACCACAUAAAGUAACAGUGUGUGUCACCGCCGCUUAACUGCAUUUCUGUUUUAAUUGUAUGGGAUAUGUGACCUUUUUAUAUUUUUCAUUGACCGCUUAAUUUUUGUUUUAUGUUUCCCAAAGCCUGUCUUUUGAAGCUUGAGUGUUGCUACUGAUUGACCUCACCAUAGCCUACUUUAUCCUGUUGUUUGUGGAGUUUACAGUGAGGCGUUUCUUUGUGCAGAGAGGGAUAUCGUUCUUUCAUAUGGUUUUAUAUGCUAUUUUGUAUGGAUUUCUACAAUAAACACUAAGUGAUGACAGGGCUAUGAUGUUUGUCCAUGUAUCUACAAUAAAUUAAGAAACGGGAAAGUAAAGUAUAGCCUAAGUAGUGAAGUUACUUUUUAAAUGUAGUAACUAGUAAAGUAAUCUCAUUACAAUUUACAGAAGUUACUAGUAAUAAUUUACUAGUACUUUUUUUUUGAGUAACUACCCAAACACUGAUUAUGUAUCCAUUUUGAUUUUUUGUAAUAACCAAUAAAUUGCAGGCGAAAAUGUACUACUCUUGAACUGUUUCUAAAAUUCAUU